ensembl:lncRNA
GGGGCUUUCUGACUGGGGCUGAGACCAGGGCGGUGCUUACGGACUCAGAGGCCCGGAGACCAGCGGUCCUGCGCCGGUGGCCGUGGCCGCUCCCUCUCCCGGAGUAGGGACACUGAGGGAAGGCCACAUUAAGGAUGCGGGGAGAAGAUGGCCAUCUGCAAGCUAAGGAGAGAGGCCUCAGAGUGAAGCCGACCUUGACCCUGGACUUCCUGCCUGCAGGACUGAGGAAAGCUCAAUGCAAGAUAAAAAUAUGGGACUCCUUCAUUCACAAGAUUAAGAAUUUCAGACCAGUGACGGCAGAAGUACAGGCCCCCGCCAUCUGAGCAAGUCUGCGUCUGCUCCUGCAACCUGAAAGCGGCCGUGGGCCACACACAGAUGACGGGAGUGGGCGUGGGACCAGUAAACGUGAUGGACGCUGAAGGUGCACUUUCCCAUGUCACAAAAUGCUAUUCUUUUGGGGUUUUUUUCCAAUCAUUUAGAAAUGUAAACGCUGUAAAUGUAAAUGCUCCCAUGCUUCCAAUGCAGGGGACACGGGUUCCCUGACUGGAGAACUAAGAUCCCAUGUGCCCUGUGGUGCAGUCAAAAAAUUAAAUAAGAUAAAUAAAAUAAAAAUGUAAACAUCAUUUGUAGCUCACAGGCUGUGUAAAAAAAAAGGUGUGGGUGGAAUCAGGCUGCAGUCAGCUAGCUUCUCGUCCGCAGGAUGAAAUCCCAACUUCUCUGCCUGACUCUCUAGAGUCCUUGACAGCCAGAGACAGACACCCUGCCAGUCCCGUCUUAUCGUCUUCUUUCCUUGAGACACCUACUGCUCUGUGAACCCUCCUCACAGGCAAAGCUGCACCUGUGCUCUGGCUGGUCCAUGUGUGAAAGCCCCAUCUCCCCCUCCUGUGGCUGGCAGACCCUGGCUCCUGCUGCCCUCCAGCCCAGUGCUGCCCUCAUGAAAGGUGGUGCUCUGGACCUGGCCCUUGUCACACUGCCUGGGCUUGGUGUCUGCAUGUCCUCUUCUUUCUUGCAGCAGCAAGGUCCUUUCGAGCAGGAACCCAAACGGAGUCAUCCUGAUCACGUGGACCCUGAGAGCAUGUGCUUCGAGGCACAAUAAGAACAAUCAGGAAUUUUAGUGGCUGGAGUGUAGUCUAACCCUGACCCUUAAGAACCAAAACUAUGCUUCUUACUAAAAAACAAAACAAAGAAUUUCUAUCUCAAGAUCAGAUCAGGGUAAUAAAGAUCUCUGAGAUCAGGCAGGCUGGACUCAAAUCCCUGUCCUUACUAGACAUGUGUACCUGGACAAGUCACCUCCCUUGCUCUUAGGACAGGGUCUCAACUUGCCAUGGCCAAUCAAGCCCCGUGUGUCAUGCCCCUUUCAAUCCCAUGAGUCACUGGCCUUUCCUAAGUGUGCCACGCUCCUAUGGGCCUCAGGGCCUUUGUGCUUGCUGUUCCUGCUGCCUGAACCGUCCUGCUCCCCUUUGCCUGUGACUCACCCUAAUGACUGUGCAGGCCCCCCCUGGCUGCCCCUGGGCGAAGUCAGGUCUGCCUGUUACACACUUUGCUGGCACUCUGGACCUCUGCAGGUUGAAAUUAUGUGUGUCAUUUCUUCUUACAAUUAAUAAGCACUUGCUACCAAGUUCUACUUCAGAUUCUGAAAGUGGGUGAUUUCAUUUCAUUCUCACAGUGCCCUCAUAAAGCACCCCCACUUCGUGGAAUAGGAGGCUGAAGUUCAGAGAAAUUAAACAACUUGCCCAAGGUUGCACGGUGAUGGAGUGUCAGAGCUCCCCUCCUAAGCCUGUCCUCGCAGGUUGACUCUGAGCUCUGUGAGGGCGGAUGCAUGUCGGGUCGUUGUUGUACGUAUCCCCAGGGCUGAGCGCCUAGACCGGCUGAAUUACAGGCGACUGCAAAGCACUGAUGACCUAAAAGAAACAGCACUGCAGUAGCAACAAGCACUCCUAGAGUUCAGAUCUUGGUUUCUAAUACCAUGCUCUAAUCCGAGGAACCAGACUCAGAGAAACGGCUGCUUCUAAGGCUGGGAUCAGGAAAUACACAUGAGAAGAACCUACAGCAUCUUGCAGUGCUAGAA